AGAAAAGUUGGAAACUAUGAUAAAUCUCUUCUAUGUGGGCACUUUAGAGAUUUGGAGUUACUUGUGCAACCGGCCAACAAUUAA
rnacentral:ncRNA from 2 species